UACAGAGGGGGCAAGCGUUGUUCGGAAUUACUGGGCGUAAAGGGUGCGUAGGCGGUCGCGUAAGUCAGGUGUGAAAUCCCGGGGCUCAACCCCGGAACUGCACUUGAUACUGCGUGGCUAGGGUACUGGAGAGGAGACUGGAAUUUACGGUGUAGCAGUGAAAUGCGUAGAUAUCGUAAGGAAGACCAGUGGCGAAGGCGAGUCUCUGGACAGAAACCGACGCUGAGGCACGAAGGCCAGGGGAGCAAACGGG
rnacentral:rRNA from 1 species